ensembl:lincRNA Meg3 maternally expressed 3
GACUUUUGGUAAAUCACCUUUUGCCGUUUCCUUUGUCCCCGUGAAGCCCCCCCUGGCCGCCCCCUCCUCAUUCUGGGCUGGCUGGCUGAGGGGGGGCAGCCUGAGGGCUGCGACGUGGCAGGUUUCUAGAAUGUUCUAUUGAUGGCCGCAAGAGGGCGCUGGUGGCACUGCGGAAUUUUGGGGGGCGGGGUGGGGAGGGAAGAGGAGGUGGCCUUUGUUCUCCUGCAGGAGGGGGUCGGGAGCGAGAUGGGCUGCGGGACCAUGGGUUCAUUUACCUAAGGGGAAAUGUUAGUAGAUACCUGGGUUCACUAAGGUGCGUUUGCAGGACUUACAAUAGGUCAGAGAUGGCGUCAUCUGCAGUGGCUAUGUGAUUUAGGGUGUCAUGGACGCAGAUUAAUUUAUUUUCAGUGAUUUGUGUUUUCUGGGGUCUUAGAAAGGUGUGGCUUUUUGAGGAAGAAUUGCAAAAAAAUAUUAAUUAAUUAGGCGUCAUCCCUAAGGGUCUUGAGAGUUGACGUGGCAAAGGGGGGGGGCAAGGUUUUGAGAAGAGUGUUAAUUGGGUGGGGGGGCAGGUUGGUCUGCCUUUAUUUUGUCGUAUAGCUGAAGACCUCAAAAAUGAGUGUUCUGUAUUAAGAAUUGAGUCUUUAAAUUUUAAUUAUGCUUAAUUGGAUUUACUAAUGGUGGUGGGCAGCGUCCUGCUUUUACUUAUCAGGAGUAGAAUUGUGGUCUGGGGGCAGCCCCUUACUGCAGGGUCUCUUUGGUGCAAGGCGGCUCCUGUAUGUGUGCUGCGUCAUGUCUGGAAAAUGGCUCAGGCAGAGGCGAUGGGGGUGCAUAGCGACCCUUAAAGAUGGCUGGUGUGGGCUCUGCCCCCCCCCCCCAAGCCUGAAACCUGUUGGGCACCCUCCCCCCUCCUACGUCAGUCUAGCUCUAGCAGCUGCGUCCUGGCGCCUGUGGGGGCGCCUCAGGUGGUUGGGCUAUUGGAGUCUUAGUGAGUGCGGGCCGCGCGCCCCCUAGCGGUCUCUAUGUGCAAAUGGUUCUUGGCCUGCUAGACUAGCGCUAGAGCUGCGCAUGCGCACACAGCUAACACUUGUGACCUGUCAAUCAAUUCAUCUGUACCCCUCCCAUUGCUGUCCUCCCCUCCCAUUUCUCCUCCUACUUCUCCUCCCAUUUCUACUUUCCCUCUUCCCCCUCCCAUUUCUGUUUUCCCUCCUUCCCCCUCCCAUUUCUUCUCCCUCCUCCCCCUCCCAUUUCUUCUCCCUCCUCCCCCUCCCAUUUCUCUCCCUCUUUCCCCUCCCACUUUUCUCCCCUAUCUUCCCCCUCCCAUUUUUCCUCACUUCUCCCCUCCUCCCACUUCUCCUCCCUCCUCCCUUCUCCCCCGCCCCGCCCCUACCCACUUCCCUCAUUCCUCUUACCCCUCCCUUCUCUUCCUCCCCUCCACCCCAUCCCUGCUUCUCUUCCCUGAUCCCUCCCACCCCUCCCUCUUUCCCCCCAAGCCUUCCCCUCCCUUCUCUCCUCUUUCACUUGCCCCCUCCCUCUCUGUGCUGUUCCUGGGCUGGCCGUUAGAGGUCAUCAAGGUGGUUUCUAACAACCCCCUCCCAUAUCCUAGGCUCUCUCUUCAGGGAUGACAUCAUCGGCUCACACCAGUUUUCCAGGACCACCUUCUGGAUGCCAAGGCUGCUGCUCGAGUACCUGCUGUGCACCUCUACCUCCUGAGCCAAGGAGCAUGGAUUCCAGGAACGCACUACCAUACAGAGCAACUCCUUGUGGACCCCUCUGGGAUCAGGACAGCGAGGGACAAGCGACAAAGAGGACCAUCAGUGGCCAGCUAGUCUCUCUGGGGUUCAAACCUUGAACCAGUGCCCUAGUGAGGGGGCACUGGCCAUGGCCCUUGACCUUUGCUCUGCUUGUGUCUUGAGUCUGAGUCCUUUCCUGUACAUCUGUGCUUGUGUUCAUCUGCUAGUGAACUGGAGUGCUGCCCUCCCCGAGGGGGGUCGUCCCUUGUGACUGACCAUGCUGUCCUAACAAUGUCCUGAGCAAAAGGGUCCCUUUGGGAACCUCUCAGGAGGGGGACCCGGGUCAGGGGCGACCAGCAUCUUGCUGGCAACUCCGUGGGUGGGGUGGGGUGCUUCCUUCUGGAAUGAGCACGUGGCUGACCCCCAAAGGCAUGUCCCCUCCCCCUCCUCCACCCACCUUCUCGGAGAUGUCCCUUUUGGGGUAGUGGGGACAUUAGGAGCAACCUCCUAGGGUUGUUGUGAGAAUUAAAUGAACUGCAGCAGCCUGAGGCAGGGCUGGGCAGAGACCUCAGCACAUGUUUGUUGAAAGGUUUGCAGGUGGAUCUAGUCCUCCCGUUCAUGGCUCAUGUGUCUCAACCAUUCUCCCGCAGACUCCUGCAGCCCCUAUGCCCAGGGCUCUCCUUGCUCCAGCCCCGGCUUCUCGAGGCCUGUCUACACUCGCUGCUUUCCUUCCUCACCUCCAAUUUCCCCUCCAACCCACUGCUUCCUGACUCGCUCUUCUCCAUCGAACGGCUCUCGCUCAGGCCUGUCGCGUCUUCCUGUGCCAUUUGCUGUUGUGCUCAGGUUCCACGAGCUGCCCAUCUCCACAGAAGAGCAGCUGGCAUUGCCCACCGGCCAUGCCGGCUGAAGAAAAGAAGUCUGAGGACCCCAGGACGCCCAGCGCGAGGACCCCAGGAAGCCCAGCGCGAGGACCCCACCCACGACGCCCAGCGCGAGGACCUCACGCACAACCCUCCUGGAUUAGGCCAAAGCCAUCAUCUGGAAUCCUGCGUGGGACCCUGGACACACGGACACAGACACCUGCCCCCAGGACCCUCCAACUGUAAAUCGAUUGGAAGCGCCCUUGUGAGCUGGGGCCUUCAAAGGGCUGAGGAGAAAAUGCAGGCCGAGAGACCAGCUUCUCAAAUAGGCUUCAAGCCUCCAUGACCUGAGCUCACCCCCUGGAAAUGUCUGGAAAACAUAAUGGGCAGGUUUUCUGUCUUCAAAGUUUCCAUCAAAACCUCUUCAAGUUCUUUAUUGUUUAGGACUGAGACACUUGGGGACAGUCAUGGGGACUUUCUUUUGUAUCUGUCUUGAAAGGCCAAAAUAUUUUUAUAUUGCUGUAGACAAAGCCACCUAUUUACAAAUGGACUCUGUUCCGUCGUUUCCCACCAGGAAGACCGUACUAUGUUUGUGUCUCUAUGUAUUCAGGGGUCUUGAAACAGGUUUCUCAUGGGGAUGGCCAUUCACUAGAGCCCAGAGGGGCAGAAGGGGAAGUGUCUACCCUGCCAAGGGGGUCUGGGGAAGGAGGGGGGCUAGUCUCAGAUUUGCUCCUUGUAUGUCUAGGGUAAACCCUGGGAGAAUCUGGGGGUAAAAGAACAUAUGCUGUGUUUGCCCCACAUCUGCCAUUUGUGUGUGUUUCUGGGCUACGGGUUUGCACACUUUGGUGGUUAACAUGGUGGGAGGAAGUAAGAAGGGCCAAGAGGGCACGGGUGCUCUGGUUUUCUUGCUGGGAGGCUGUUUCACUGGUGUGUGUUACAUCACAUAAUGCAUGUUUAGCUGGGUGAGUGACAACAGUAUGAAGGAAUAGAGAGCAAGUCACAGAGUGCACAGUCACCAUUCUGUCUCACGGGUGCCCAGGCGUUUGUUAAAUGUUCAAUAGAAUGGUGAGCUCUGAUAGGCAGAGAGGGCCACGGACAGACUGGUAUUGGGUCAUCGUGGACCCAAGGAGUUUUUUUUUUUUUUUAAUUGAAGAAGGAAUCUUACAUAACAGAAGAAAGAGCUGUCAAAACGAGCUCUGAGGUUUUUGAAGCCCCUUAAUAUAAACAGACAGACAAUGGCGUGAUCAGGAAAGGGAGAAAACAAGCAAAUGAACAAGAUGCUUACAAAAUACGAGGGGACAUGUGAGCAUGCAAAGAGAACCCAGCUAGGUUAAUAUCGAGGUGCUGGUGGAUCGUUAAUCCUGUCUGGGUACCCCAGCUCCAAGGGGAUGAGAGGCAGCAAGUGAGAAAGAGAGGACACAUAGGAAACUGUAACAAGACAGGGGGGAACAGAUGAGGAGCUGCUUCAGGGCAGGGUUAAGCUAGGCUUCGCAAUCUGACCACUUAACUCUACCAGCAAAGAAAAGAAAGGCUUAAAUACUAAAAAGAAGGAAAGCUGGAAGAAAGGAUGGUAGAUGUGAAAGGCAUAGAGGAUAGAAAGCAAUAGGGAGUGGAGUGCAGGUGCUGUGGAGGGACGCUUGCAGGUGACUCAAUUCACCAGCCUGUGCAGCUGAGAAAGAGAGCCAGUGACAAAGGAGAAGAAGAAAGGUAACAAUAGGCUCACAAAUAGGUAGAUGAAUGUAGCUGGAAGGCCUGGCUAGGGGUGGGAUGAGAGGCUGUGUCAGCAGACUGGUUAAUUCCCGUCUGUGCUUCUGAGAUGGACAAUGACCCACCCGACCAAGAGACCUUUCAGGCAUCAAUAUGUCAGGGAGGGCUUCAAUAGGGCAAUGGAGGCGAGGCCCAUUAAUAGCAGAUUAUGAUGUAUCCAAUUAGGUGCACCUGCCCUCUGGAAGUGCAGAAACCAGUAUUGAAAUGAAAAGAAAGACUGAAUGGAAGUCCGAGCGUACAAAUGAAUGGAUGGGAAAAAAGAUUUGCAUUUGCUCUUAGGGGGAGGGUGCUGCUGAGCCCCAGGGUCAUCUGAUCUCCUGGAGAAUAAAAGGGCGAGGGAGUGAUAGAGACUAACAAUAAGAUGGGGAAGAAAUGAAAAGGAGUCCAGAAGAGAAUAAGUGGGGACAAUGAAGUCUAGGAGCGCGGCUUGUUUAACACAAGUCAUCCAUAUUAAUUCAAAAUUGAGGCCCUGGGAUGGGAUGGGCUGGGUCCAAGGGAUGAAGCUGUUGCCUAGCAUGUGCCAAGUUCUGGGUUCCAUCUCCGCCUGGCAAGACAAACACAGGAAACAAAAUUAUAGCCCAGAGGUUGUAAAUGUUGUUUUUGAUGGUUUUGGGACAAAGAGCUCGAUCAGUUGGAAGAUAGAGAAAUAGGAAGAGGUGGGAAAGAGUUAGAGGAACACAAGAGGAAGCAGCAGUUCUUAAGAUAAGUGUUUAAAUAUGGGGAAUGCGUAUCUCUUGGGUGUGUCAAGAUGAAAAUAACAAAAAGAAACAAGUUUAGGGAUGACCACAUAAGGAUGAGCCGGAAGCGGUGACUUUAGUUCAUCACUGUGGCCAACUCAAGCCCUGUCAGAGAUUUAAAAAAAUGUACAAAGGAGAUAAAGGAAGACACAUGCAAUACGGAAGAGAGACAGGACAGACAGACACAGCGAAAAGGCUGAGGACAUAAUGAAUAUCCUGGAGACAUGCCUGAGAGGGUCGCAUAGGGAGGAGAGAGAGAACAGCAAGAAUUCUGCUUAAUUCAAAACUGGGCUCCUGAGAUAGCUAAAUAUCUCCUGAACCCAAGCACCAGCACAGGAGAUUAAAUAACAAAAGAGCUGCAGGCAGACCCAAGUGGAGAAGGCUUGGGACCUUCAGAUCACGCUUAAUCUAAAUCUGUGCACCUGAGGUCCAUAAAUAAAAGAAUAAAUAUUGAAAUAAAGGAGUGACAGAAAGGAUGAAUGAGCACACAUGACUGAAUUAGAAAUGGAAAUGGCUAGAGCAGCCAAUAAGGAGUGGCCCAUGGGACUUUUGCUCAUCUUGUUCUGGGCACCUGAGGUCCUUUCGUGAGAAGUUGCAGGGAGAAGAGGGGAAGGGAAAGGCAUGAGAGCAAAUGAAAGAGAGGCGAGGAGAGGAAAUGAGAAAGUAGCAAAGAGGGGAAGCGAUCGGUGGGUGCCUCGGAAGAGGAAUGUCCACGAGGAUUAAUAACGAGGCUUUCAUUAAUCCUAAAGAUCGAUGAGGUAAUCCAGACCCAGGUUCUUAAGGGGAGGGAGAAUGG